rnacentral:rRNA from 1 species
GAUGAACGCUGGCGGCGUGCCUAAUACAUGCAAGUCGAGCGAACAGACGAGGAGCUUGCUCCUCUGACGUUAGCGGCGGACGGGUGAGUAACACGUGGAUAACCUACCUAUAAGACUGGGAUAACUUCGGGAAACCGGAGCUAAUACCGGAUAAUAUAUUGAACCGCAUGGUUCAAAAGUGAAAGACGGUUUUGCUGUCACUUAUAGAUGGAUCCGCGCUGCAUUAGCUAGUUGGUAAGGUAACGGCUUACCAAGGCAACGAUGCGUAGCCGACCUGAGAGGGUGAUCGGCCACACUGGAACUGAGACACGGUCCAGACUCCUACGGGAGGCAGCAGUAGGGAAUCUUCCGCAAUGGGCGAAAGCUUGACGGAGCAACGCCGCGUGAGUGAUGAAGGUCUUCGGAUCGUAAAACUCUGUUAUUAGGGAAGAACAAAUGUGUAAGUAACUAUGCACGUCUUGACGGUACCUAAUCAGAAAGCCACGGCUAACUACGUG